AUGGCGAUCUCUGAGAUAGAGGCGCAGAGGUUGGCGUUUGGCAAGGCGGCGCACGCGGACGCCAAGCGCUACAUUGACAUGGAGGAGGAGGACGUAGUGGAGGAGUACCGGCGGGCCGGCAAACUCCACUCCUACGAUCCGGAUAAUGAGUGGAAGAGGCGCUUUGCCAGGGUCGCCAAACUCUACCCAUGCCCGUGGGGCAAGAAAUUGGCCGCAAAGAUCGAAGAAUUCAUGUAUUACCUCGAGGAAGACGAGGACGACUUCAGGAUAGGGCUUUAUUCAUUAAUCGGUGAUGAAAUCGUAGGUUAG
rnacentral:rRNA from 1 species